CAUGCAGUCGAGGGGCAGCAUGGGUCUAGCAAUAGACUGAUGGCGACCGGCGCACGGGUGAGUAACACGUAUCCAACCUACCGGCUAUUCCGGGAUAGCCUUUCGAAAGAAAGAUUAAUACCGGAUAGUAUAGCGAGAAGGCAUCUUCUUGCUAUUAAAGAAUUUCGAUAACCGAUGGGGAUGCGUUCCAUUAGUUUGUUGGCGGGGUAACGGCCCACCAAGACAUCGAUGGAUAGGGGUUCUGAGAGGAAGGUCCCCCACAUUGGAACUGAGACACGGUCCAAACUCCUACGGGAGGCAGCAGUGAGGAAUAUUGGUCAAUGGACGAGAGUCUGAACCAGCCAAGUAGCGUGAAGGAUGACUGCCCUAUGGGUUGUAAACUUCUUUUAUAUGGGAAUAAAGUGAGCCACGUGUGGCUUUUUGUAUGUACCAUACGAAUAAGGAUCGGCUAACUCCGUGCCAGCAGCCGCGGUAAUACGGAGGAUCCGAGCGUUAUCCGGAUUUAUUGGGUUUAAAGGGAGCGUAGGCGGACUAUUAAGUCAGCUGUGAAAGUUUGCGGCUCAACCGUAAAAUUGCAGUUGAUACUGGUCGUCUUGAGUGCAGUA
rnacentral:rRNA from 1 species